CAGCCGCCACGGGAAAACAGAGGAUGCAAGCGUUAUCCGGAAUGAUUGGGCGUAAAGGGCUCGCAGGCGGUUACUUAAGUCUGAUGUGAAAGCCCCCGGCUCAACCGGGGAGGGUCAUUGGAAACUGGGAAACUUGAGUGCAGAAGAGGAGAGUGGAAUUCCACGUGUAGCGGUGAAAUGCGUAGAGAUGUGGAGGAACACCAGUGGCGAAGGCGACUCUCUGGUCUGUAACUGACGCUGAGGAGCGAAAGCGUGGGGAGCGAACAGGAUUAGAUACCCCUGUAGUCCCUGUCUCUUAUAC
rnacentral:rRNA from 1 species